GCCAGAAUAGCUCAGAUGGUAGAGCAACUGAUUCGUAAUCAGUAGGUCCGGGGUUCAAUUCCCCGUUCUGGCU
rnacentral:tRNA from 1 species